rnacentral:tRNA from 1 species
GGCCGGCAUUGCCGGGCAUAGGGCCGACAGUUACAACCUGUCGCAGAUCGCCAGGAUUCAGUUUCCUGCUGGUCU